UGGGGCGUCGUCUAAUUGGCAGGACACUGGACUUUGGCUCCAGCAGUGUAGGUUCGAGUCCUACCGCCCCAGCCA
rnacentral:tRNA from 1 species